rnacentral:rRNA from 1 species
AGAGUUUGAUCCUGGCUCAGGACGAACGCUGGCGGCGUGCCUAAUACAUGCAAGUAGAACGCUGAAGGAGGAGCUUGCUCUUCUGGAUGAGUUGCGAACGGGUGAGUAACGCGUAGGUAACCUGCCUGGUAGCGGGGGAUAACUAUUGGAAACGAUAGCUAAUACCGCAUAACAUUGACUAUUGCAUGAUAGUCAAUUGAAAGGUGCAAAUGCACCACUACCAGAUGGACCUGCGUUGUAUUAGCUAGUUGGUGGGGUAACGGCUCACCAAGGCGACGAUACAUAGCCGACCUGAGAGGGUGAUCGGCCACACUGGGACUGAGACACGGCCCAGACUCCUACGGGAGGCAGCAGUAGGGAAUCUUCGGCAAUGGACGGAAGUCUGACCGAGCAACGCCGCGUGAGUGAAGAAGGUUUUCGGAUCGUAAAGCUCUGUUGUAAGAGAAGAACGAGUGUGAGAGUGGAAAGUUCACACUGUGACGGUAUCUUACC